UAUAUUUUAUUCUUGCGCCGGGUAUUUAAUGUUCGGCUCCACCCGAACUUAGACUUUCUUACUUGUUAUCGAUGAAAGCUCACCGCUAUUUUCGAACUUUCCUUUGCUCUAUUCGCUGCACUCCCGAAUGAUAAAUUUAGUAGUGUCGUGAAUAUAGCAGAGGAAGGGCGCAAAACUGCGAAAUAAAUAGUCGUUGCCAGGAAUAACCGGCGCUAUUAUAUUUCAUCGCCUUCUUAAUCACGUCACUACAAUUUGGUUUUUUCGUAUGCUCAUAAUCAACAA